AUGAACGCUGGCGGCGUGCCUAAUACAUGCAAGUCGAGCGAACGGACGAGAAGCUUGCUUCUCUGAUGUUAGCGGCGGACGGGUGAGUAACACGUGGAUAACCUACCUAUAAAACUGGGAUAACUUCGGGAAACCGGAGCUAAUACCGGAUAAUAUUUUGAACCGCAUGGUUCAAAAGUGAAAGACGGUCUUGCUGUCACUUAUAGAUGGAUCCGCGCUGCAUUAGCUAGUUGGUAAGGUAACGGCUUACCAAGGCAACGAUGCAUAGCCGACCUGAGAGGGUGAUCGGCCACACUGGAACUGAGACACGGUCCAGACUCCUACGGGAGGCAGCAGUAGGGAAUCUUCCGCAAUGGGCGAAAGCCUGACGGAGCAACGCCGCGUGAGUGAUGAAGGUCUUCGGAUCGUAAAACUCUGUUAUUAGGGAAGAACAUAUGUGUAAGUAACUGUGCACAUCUUGACGGUACCUAAUCAGAAAGCCACGGCUAACUACGUG
rnacentral:rRNA from 1 species